rnacentral:ribozyme from 1 species
UGACCAGCAACUCCUAUCCAUACCUCCUCGCGGUACUGGCCGGGGUACGAGUAAUCUUAGGGAAGAUCGGGUAACCAAACCCCGGCGGGAAAUUUGGUCGUAUCCUGACAGAGAAGG